UCUGCUCUGAGAGGCUUUGCGGGUGUGGCUGCCGUGUCACAUGCACGUCAGUAGGUGGCAGAGAGGAGAGAGAGAGGCUCUGUCUAUACUCAGUGUUCUGACAUUUAGACAUCUGCACGAUUAGUGCCCUAACAUU